UGGGGAAUAUUGGACAAUGGGCGCAAGCCUGAUCCAGCCAUGCCGCGUGAGUGAUGAAGGCCUUCGGGUUGUAAAGCUCUUUUCGCCGGGGAAGAUAAUGACGGUACCCGGAGAAGAAGCCUCGGCUAACUCCGUGCCAGCAGCCGCGGUAAGACGGAGGAGGCUAGCGUUGUUCGGAAUUACUGGGCGUAAAGCGCACGUAGGCGGCCCGACAAGUCGGAUGUGAAAGCCCGGGGCUUAACCCCGGAACAGCAUCCGAAACUAGCGGGCUCGAGACCGGGAGAGGAGAGUGGAAUUCCCAGUGUAGAGGUGAAAUUCGUAGAUAUUGGGAAGAACACCUGCGGCGAAGGCGGCUCUCUGGUCCGGUACUGACGCUCAAGUGCGAAAGCGUGGGGAGCAAACAGGAUUAGAUACCCUUGUAGUCCCUGAGCGGGCUGGCAAGGCGCAU
rnacentral:rRNA from 1 species